rnacentral:rRNA from 1 species
AUUGAACGCUGGCGGCAGGCCUAACACAUGCAAGUCGAGCGAGCGGCGGACGGGUGAGUAAUGUCUGGGAAACUGCCUGAUGGAGGGGGAUAACUACUGGAAACGGUAGCUAAUACCGCAUACCAUCAGAUGUGCCCAGAUGGGAUUAGCUAGUAGGUGGGGUAAUGGCUCACCUAGGCGACGAUCCCUAGCUGGUCUGAGAGGAUGACCAGCCACAUUGGACCUAAGACACGUGCCAGACGCCUACGGGAGUCGGCAGUGGGGAAUAGUGCAAUGUGGGCGCAAGCCUGAUGCAGCCCGGCCGCGUGUGUGAAGAAGGCCUUCGGGUGUUAAAGCACUUGCAGCGGUGAGGCGUUAUCCGCAGAAGAAGCACCGGCUACCUCCGGGCCGGCCGCCGCGGUAAUUC